rnacentral:rRNA from 1 species
UACGUAGGGUGCAAGCGUUGUCCGGAAUUACUGGGCGUAAAGCGUGCGCAGGCGGUUCGUUAAGACAGAUGUGAAAUCCCCGGGCUUAACCUGGGAACUGCAUUUGUGACUGGCGAGCUAGAGUAUGGCAGAGGGGGGUAGAAUUCCACGUGUAGCAGUGAAAUGCGUAGAGAUGUGGAGGAAUACCGAUGGCGAAGGCAGCCCCCUGGGCCAAUACUGACGCUCAUGCACGAAAGCGUGGGGAGCAAACAGG